rnacentral:tRNA from 1 species
CGAGCUCGCUCAGUUGGUAGAGCACAAGGCUCUUAACCUUGUCGUCAUGGGUUUAAGCCCCACGGUGGGCACC